rnacentral:tRNA from 3 species
GCCGGGAUAGAUCAGUUGGUAGAGCAGAGGACUCGAAAUCC